rnacentral:snRNA from 1 species
CUUGGUGACUCGACAAAGUG